CAGGACGAACGCUGGCGGCGUGCCUAAUACAUGCAAGUCGAACGGUCUUUCUAUGGAAGCUUGCUUCCACUGAGAAGAUAGUGGCGAACGGGUGAGUAACACGUGGGGUAACCUGCCCAUAAGAGGGGGAUAACAUCCGGAAACGGGUGCUAAUACCGCAUAGUUUUCUUGAUCGCAUGAUUGAGAAAGGAAAGACGGCCUUUGUGCUGUCGCUUAUGGAUGGACCCGCGGCGUAUUAGUUAGUUGGUGAGGUAACGGCUCACCAAGACGAUGAUACGUAGCCGACCUGAGAGGGUGAUCGGCCACAUUGGGACUGAGACACGGCCCAAACUCCUACGGGAGGCAGCAGUAGGGAAUCUUCCGCAAUGGACGAAAGUCUGACGGAGCAACGCCGCGUGAGUGAAAGAAGGUUUUCGGAUCGUAAAACUCUGUUGUCAGAGAAGAACAAGUUGGAGAGUAACUGCUCCAGCCUUGACGGUAUCUGACCAGAAAGCCACGGCUAACUACGUGCCAGCCGCCGC
rnacentral:rRNA from 1 species